CACGUAGUUAGCCGGUGCUUAUUCUUCAGGUACCGUCAUUAGCGGGCGAUAUUAGCGCCUGCCGUUUCUUCCCUGACAAAAGAGCUUUACAACCCGAAGGCCUUCUUCACUCACGCGGCAUUGCUGGAUCAGGCUUGCGCCCAUUGUCCAAAAUUCCCCACUGCUGCCUCCCGUAGGAGUCUGGACCGUGUCUCAGUUCCAGUGUGGCUGGUCGUCCUCUCAGACCAGCUACUGAUCGUCGCCUUGGUGAGCCUUUACCUCACCAACUAGCUAAUCAGAUAUCGGCCGCUCCAGGAGCACAAGGCCUUGCGGUCCCCUGCUUUCAUCCGUAGAUCGUAUGCGGUAUUAGCGUAACUUUCGCUACGUUAUCCCCCACUCUUGGGUACGUUCCGAUAUAUUACUCACCCGUUCGCCACUCGCCACCAGGCCGAAGCCCGUGCUGCCGUUCGACUUGCAUGUGUAAAGCAUGCCGCCAGCGUUCGAAUCUGAGCCA
rnacentral:rRNA from 1 species